rnacentral:rRNA from 6 species
CAAAAAUAACGAUACGGGACUCAUCCGAGGCCCCGUAAUCGGAAUGAGUACACUCUAAACCCUUUAACGAGGAUCAAUUGGAGGGCAAGUCUGGUGCCAGCAGCCGCGGUAACACCAGCUCCAAUAGCGUAUAUUAAAGUUGUUGCGGUUAAAAAGCUCGUAGUCGAAUUUGUGUCCCGCGCCGCCGGUUCAUCGCUCGCGGUGUUAACUGGCGUGUCCGCGGGACGUCCUGCCGGUGGGCUUAGCUUUCGGGCGGCCCAAUCUCAAUCCCACCGCGGUGCUCUUUACUGAGUGUCGAGGUGGGCCGGCACGUUUACUUUGAACAAAUUAGAGUGCUUAAAGCAGGCUAAAAUAUCGCCUGAAUACUGUGUGCAUGGAAUAAUGGAAUAGGACCUCGGUUCUAUUUUGUUGGUUUUCGGAACCCCGAGGUAAUGAUUAAUAGGAACGGAUGGGGGCAUUCGUAUUGCGACGUUAGAGGUGAAAUUCUUGGAUCGUCGCAAGACGGACAGAAGCGAAAGCAUUUGCCAAAAACGUUUUCAUUGAUCAAGAACGAAAGUUAGAGGUUCGAAGGCGAUCAGAUACCGCCCUAGUUCUAACCAUAAACGAUGCCAGCUAGCGAUCCGCCGACGUUCCUCCGAUGACUCGGCGGGCAGCUUCCGGGAAACCAAAGCUUUUGGGAUCCGGGGGAAGUAUGGUUGCAAAGCUGAAACUUAAAGGAAUUGACGGAAGGGCACCACCAGGAGUGGAGCCUGCGGCUUAAUUUGACUCAACACGGGAAACCUCACCAGGCCCGGACACCGGAAGGAUUGACAGAUUGAGAG